AUACAUUAUACCAACCCAUAACAAAGAAUUAUUUUGGAGAAUUAAAGUGAAGAGUUACCAACUUAACAUUACUCAAAGAUCAUUUAACAUGAAGUUCAUCACUUCAAUUUUGUUCCUGCUGCUUGUUCUUUCCAUGGAAAUUGAAAAUGAAGGAGCAAUGAAAAUGGUAGAAGCAGAAGUGUGUUAUCAAGAGUUCUACUGGUCAGAUUGUGGUUUCUUCGUGUGCAAACCUGAAUGUAUCAAAAGAUAUGGAAAAUCUGCGAAUGGAAUGUGUUAUGACUCUCUUACAUGCAUGUGCAGUUUCUAUUGUAAAUAGGCCUUUCGUUUUAUCAUCAAACGUUGUUCUUAUAUGAAUAUCAAAUUAAGUGAUCCACAAUGAUGGAUUCAAAAUAAAAUAAAAUAACUCUUUUGCUA